GUCAUCGCUUGCCUGGCUGCUGUGGCCAUAGCUGAUCAGUCUCCUUACCCCCCUCCACCUGCCCCCUACCACCCCCCACCGCCGGCCUACCACAGCGAACCACAUUACCCUGAUGUUCCUCCCAAAUACGCCUACAACUACGGCAUCUCCGACGACUACGGCGUCAACCUCGCCACACGGAGUCCCGCGACGGCUACAAGACCGAGGGCAGCUACACCGUCGACCUCCCCGACGGCCGCAAGCAGAUCGUCAAGUACGUGGACAACGGCGACGGUUAUGUAGCCGAGGUCACCUACGAGGGCGAGGCUCAGUACCCCGAGCACACCUACAAGCCCGCUCCCCCUGCCUACGCCCCUCCUCCCCCUGCGCCCUAUGAAUAAUGUGUAUUCAUUCUUUGUAAAAACGAAAUCAUUCACUCGUUCUUCUUCAUCAUCAAACCUGUUUUUGUUGUUAUAUUAUUCUACCAAAGAUAAUAAAAUCAAAUUGAAAGACAA